rnacentral:rRNA from 1 species
AACGGGUGAGUAACACGUGGGUGAUCUGCCCUGCACUGUGGGAUAAGCUCGGGAAACUGGGUCUAAUACCAUAUAGGACCACUUCUUGGAUGUUGUGGUGGAAAGCUUUUGCGGUGUGGGAUGAGCCUGCGGCCUAUCAGCUUGUUGGUGGGGUAAUGGCCUACCAAGGCGGCGACGGGUAUCCGGCCUGAGAGGGUGUACGGACACAUUGGGACUGAGAUACGGCCCAGACUCCUACGGGAGGCAGCAGUGGGGAAUAUUGCACAAUGGGCGCAAGCCUGAUGCAGCGACGCCGCGUGGGGGAUGACGGCCUUCGGGUUGUAAACUCCUUUCGCUAUCGACGAAGCCACCUAGGGUGGUGACGGUAGGUAGAUAAGAAGCACCGGCUAACUACGUGCCAGCAGCCGCGGUAAUACGUAGGGUGCAAGCGUUGUCCGGAAUUACUGGGCGUAAAGAGCUCGUAGGUGGUUUGUCGCGUCGUCUGUGAAAUCCCGGGGCUUAACUUCGGGCGUGCAGGCGAUACGGGCAUAACUUGAGUGCUGUAGGGGAGACUGGAAUUCCUGGUGUAGCGGUGAAAUGCGCAGAUAUCAGGAGGAACACCGAUGGCGAAGGCAGGUCUCUGGGCAGUAACUGACGCUGAGGAGCGAAAGCAUGGGUAGCGAACAGGAUUAGAUACCCUGGUAGUCCAUGCCGUAAACGGUGGGCGCUAGGUGUAGGGGGCUUCCACGUCUUCUGUGCCGUAGCUAACGCAUUAAGCGCCCCGCCUGGGGAGUACGGCCGCAAGGCUAAAACUCAAAGGAAUUGACGGGGGCCCGCACAAGCGGCGGAGCAUGUGGAUUAAUUCGAUGCAACGCGAAGAACCUUACCUGGGCUUGACAUAUACAGGAUUGGGCUAGAGAUAGUUCGUCCCUUGUGGUCUGUAUACAGGUGGUGCAUGGUUGUCGUCAGCUCGUGUCGUGAGAUGUUGGGUUAAGUCCCGCAACGAGCGCAACCCUUGUCUUAUGUUGCCAGCACGUGAUGGUGGGGACUCAUGAGAAACUGCCGGGGUUAACUCGGAGGAAGGUGGGGAUGACGUCAAAUCAUCAUGCCCCUUAUGUCCAGGGCUUCACACAUGCUACAAUGGUCGAUACAAUGGGCAGCGACAUCGUGAGGUGGAGCGAAUCCCUGAAAGUCGGCCUUAGUUCGGAUUGGGGUCUGCAACUCGACCCCAUGAAGUCGGAGUC